CGGCGGACGGGUGAGUAGCGCGUGGGUAACCGUGCCUCAUACAGGGGGAUAACAGUUGGAAACGGCUGCUAAUACCGCAUAAGCGCACAGUACCGCAUGGUACCGUGUGAAAAACUCCGGUGGUAUGAGAUGGACCCGCGUCUGAUUAGGUAGUUGGUGGGGUAACGGCCUACCAAGCCGACGAUCAGUAGCCGACCUGAGAGGGUGACCGGCCACAUUGGGACUGAGACAUGGCCCAA
rnacentral:rRNA from 1 species